GUGAAGCUGGAUUCGCUAGCAAUCGCGCAUCAGCCAUGGCGCGGUGAAUACGUUCCCGGGCCUUGUACACACCGCCCGUCAAGCCAUGAAAGCCGGGGGUACCUGAAGUACGUAACCGCAAGGAUCGUCCUAGGGUAAAACUGGUAAUUGGGGCUAAGUCGUAACAAGGUACC
rnacentral:rRNA from 1 species